rnacentral:rRNA from 1 species
CUAACCUACGGGGCGCAGCAGUGGGGAAUAUUGCACAAUGGGGGAAACCCUGAUGCAGCGACGCCGCGUGAAGGAAGAAGUAUCUCGGUAUGUAAACUUCUAUCAGCAGGGAAGAAAACAGACGGAACCUGACUAAGAAGCCCCGGCUAACUACGUGCCAGCAGCCGCGGUAAUACGUAGGGGGCAAGCGUUAUCCGGAUUUACUGGGUGUAAAGGGAGCGUAGACGGCGAAGAAAGUCUGAAGUGAAAGCCCGCGGCUCAACCGCGGAAUGGCUUUGGAAACUUUUUUGCUGGAGUACCGGAGG